rnacentral:lncRNA from 1 species
UUCAGAAGUCCUGAAAUGAAAGCUUCCUGGAAGAAAUACAUAUCCCUGUGGGACCACACAGCUCUCAGUCCUGCCUCCGUGUGAAGAUGAUGUUCCUGGGUGUCAAGCCACGGCCCUGCUCUGGUGGCAUGUGAGGUGUGAGCCUCCAACUGCCUCUGGCUGUACUGCAGCAAUCCACAGAAUGACUGGAAGCACAGCACAUGAGCUUUCUGGCUUUAUUUCUUGCAAGUACUGCUGGGCCUGUCCCCUUCCAUGCCCGUCUGCUUCGCUGAUGAAAGCUGCCCUGGAGCCUGCAGGUUGCACAUAGGUUGUGUGCACAACGUGGACGUUAUUUAAAGAAAUGCCAACAGGUAGGGAAGGUGUUUUGCUUUUGGGAGAACGUGC